GCCUCAUUCCUUGGGGCCAAUAUGGUAUUUCUCCAACCACUUGCUUCCUGAUGCAGGGAAUGAUAUUGAAUAACAGCAUUUUUUUUUCCUUCCUCUCUUUCUUUCAUUUUCCUGAGAAACAAACACUCUUUGCAGAAUUCAUAUGCAAUACUUUAAUUUUUUUUUUUAAUUUAUAAUAUUUUGUUUAUUUAAAAAAAAAAU
rnacentral:misc_RNA from 1 species